CACGUAGGGUGCGAGCGUUGUCCGGAAUUAUUGGGCGUAAAGAGCUCGUAGGCGGUGUGUCGCGUCGGCCGUGAAAACCUGCAGCUUAACUGUGGGCUUGCGGUCGAUACGGGCAUCACUGGAGUUCGGCAGGGGAGACUGGAAUUCCUGGUGUAGCGGUGAAAUGCGCAGAUAUCAGGAGGAACACCGAUGGCGAAGGCAGGUCUCUGGGCCACUACUGACGCUGAGAAGCGGAAAGCAUGGGGAGCGAACAGG
rnacentral:rRNA from 1 species